rnacentral:rRNA from 1 species
UACGGAGGGUGCAAGCGUUAAUCGGAAUUACUGGGCGUAAAGCGUGCGCAGGCGGUUUGUUAAGUCCGCUGUGAAAUCCCCGAGCUCAACUUGGGAAUUGCAGUGGAUACUGGCAAGCUGGAGUAUGGUAGAGGAAGGUGGAAUUCCCGGUGUAGCAGUGAAAUGCGUAGAUAUCAAGUGGAACACCAGUGGCGAAGGCGAGUCUCUGGACAUUUCCUGACGCUGAGGCACGAAAGCCAGGGGAGCAAACGGG